rnacentral:rRNA from 1 species
UCUGAUUGUAAAGUUCUUUUAUUUAGGAAAAAAAGCUUGAUAGGAAAUGAUUAAGCCUUGAUUGUACUAAAUGAAUAAGUGACAGCUAACUAUGUGCCAGCAGCUGCGGUAAAACAUAGGUCACGAGCAUUAUCCGGAUUUAUUGGGCGUAAAGGAAGCGUAGGCGGACAAAUUGAUCUAUUGUUAAAGGCACUUGCUCAACGAGUUGUUUGUGAUAGAUAUCGUUUGUCUAGAAUUA